rnacentral:rRNA from 1 species
GAUGAACGCUAGCGGCAGGCUUAACACAUGCAAGUCGAGGGGUAGAGGUCUUCGGAACUAGAGACCGGCGCACGGGUGCGUAACGCGUAUGCAAUCUACCUUUUACAGGGGAAUAGCCCAGAGAAAUUUGGAUUAAUGCCCCAUAGUAUAGUUUAUUCGCAUGAGUAGAUUAUUAAAGUUCCAACGGUAAAAGAUGAGCAUGGCGUCCCAUUAGCUAGAUGGUAAGGUAACGGCUUACCAUGGCGACGAUGGGUAGGGGUCCUGAGAGGGAGCUCCCACACACAGAGACGGAGACACGGACCAGACUCCUGCGGGAGGCAGCAGUGAGGAAUAUUUGUCAAUGGACGCAAGUCUGAACCAGCCAUGCCGCGUGCAGGAUGACGGUCCUAUGGAUUGUAAACUGCUUUUGUACGAGAAGAAACACUGCUACGUGUAGCAGCUUGACGGUAUCGUAAGAAUAAGGAUCGGCUAACUCCGUGCCAGCCGCCGCCGUAA